CGCCUAGUGCGAAUGGUAAAUACAAAACUUAUAAAAACAUACACUAUUGGAUAACAACACUGUGAAAAGUUGCCCUUAACUAAAUUAGUUAGUUCUAAACCAAAAACAUAAAAGCCGGCGCUUGUUCAGAAAACUUAUGUAUUUGGACUCAACGUGAAAACAAGCAAUUAAGUUACUCGUAAGCAUCUGCCCACCUGUUGCAUGUACUGAGAUCCGCCGUCGGGACCGACUGGAACUAUGAGGCGUCCGC